UUAGAAUUAGUGGGAGAGAGAGAUAAAGUUAGGGUUAGAAGAAAAUUCAGGGUAAAGCACUUCUCCACUCCCUUCCUUGGCAUAACUCUUCAACCUCCUCCAUACCCACCAAGCUCGUCCAUACCCACCAAAUAGAAUUCCACAACAUUGUAAAUUGGAGAAAGAAACCGUCUUUUGGCGCUGGUUUUUGGGAUUUUUGGCUCCAAAUGAAUGUCAGGAUAACCACUAUAUAUAUAUAUGAGAAAAAUGACUGGAAAAAAUACAUUGCAAAGUGAAGCAAAAUUUCUGAACAGGUAUGUAUCAUUUCACCUACUCUUUGUUUGAAUAAGAUUCAAUAGAUUGUAAUUGCCACAAUCAUAUAUCAAAUUAUUAAUUCAUUAAUUAUUUGUGGCAUAGACAUUGAUAUGCUUUUAUUUUGUCUCAUAUGAUCAAUCUAGAUGAGAAUAAAUCAAUUAGAAGAUUUUGAAACAGAAACUCUUUAAUUUACUGUGUAUAUUUAGAGUUUUUAGUUUACUGUGUAUAUUUAUAGUUUUGCAUGGUGUACUGAAGGGGAAAUAUUAGAUAUUAUCAUAGUAGGCAUCUAUUUUGUGUAUAUAUUGACGUUUUCUGUCUGGUUUUGAGGGAAGAGUGGAUGGAUUGUGAAAAUAUGGUAUUAAAGCUUCUGUUUGAAUCAAAUCAUGCUUCUUGGUGGCCCUUGGGAAUUUGUUUGAUCGGAUAAUGGC
rnacentral:lncRNA from 1 species